ACUCAAAGGAAUUGACGGGGGCCCGCACAAGCAGCGGAGCAUGUGGUUUAAUUCGACGCAACGCGAAGAACCUUACCUGGGCUUGACAUGUGGGUGACCGGCGUGGAAACACGUCUUCCCUUCGGGGCACCUUCACAGGUGGUGCAUGGCUGUCGUCAGCUCGUGUCGUGAGAUGUUGGGUUAAGUCCCGCAACGAGCGCAACCCCCGUCGCAUGUUGCCAGCAUUCAGUUGGGGACUCAUGCGAGACUGCCGGUGACAAACCGGAGGAAGGCGGGGAUGACGUCAAGUCAUCAUGCCCCUUAUGUCCAGGGCUACAGACGUGCUACAUUGGCGCGUACAGAGGGCUGCGAUACCGCGAGGUGGAGCGAAUCCCUUAAAGCGCGUCUCGGUUCGGAUUGCAGGCUGAAACUCGCCUGCAUGAAGGCGGAGUUGCUAGUAAUCCCGGAUCAGCAUUGCCGGGGUGAAUACGUUCCCGGGCCUUGUACACACCGCCCGU
rnacentral:rRNA from 1 species